rnacentral:misc_RNA from 1 species
AAGUCGUAACAAGGUCUCCGUUGGUGAACCAGCGGAGGGAUCAUUACAGAGUUGCAAAACUCCCAACCAUUGUGAACCUACCUCACCGUUGCUUCGGCGGGUGGCCCGCUGAACCGCAGGCUGCGCCAGCCCCUCUCCAGGGGCCGGCACCCCGCCAGAAGACCGAAACUCUCUGUCAUCAGUGGCCUCUCUGAGUAACUUAUACAAUAAGUCAAAACUUUCAACAACGGAUCUCUUGGUUCUG